rnacentral:rRNA from 1 species
AUGGCGAACAAGGGGGCGCGUCGCGGCCGCCGCCGGCGCAGCAACGGCAAGCCCAAGAGAGCGCCGAGGCGCGAGCCGAUCCCGCCAGGGCCAACGGGCGUGCACCACAUCCCCGACCACCUCCUCGAGCUCGUCCUCCUGCGCGUAGGCUCCUCCCUCGCCCUCCUCCGCGCCGCCUUCACCUGCAAGCGCUGGCGCCGCAUCGUCGCGGCCGCCGCCUUCCUCGCCCGGUUCCGCUCCCUCCACGCGGCCCACGUGCCAGGCCACCACCACGUCGUCGACCCCAGCUUCAAGGAGCCGCCGCCCGACGGGAACAGCAACCAUGUCUACGUGCCGGACCCCUCGACGGCCGAUGCCAUCGACAGACGCCGCCUCGCCCUCGAUUUCCUCCCGGAGGGCGACCGCUCGUUGCCUUGGGAGCUCGGGGACAGCCGCGGGAGCCUCCUGCUGCUCUACCGGAGGAAUAUCGUCUGGCACAGGAUAACCUACAGAACGUGGUACUCGGAGCUCCACUUCUCCGACAUGGUCGUCUGCGACCCGCUCACGCGGACGUACCAGACGAUCCUCUGCUCGGACGAGGCUGGCUCCCGCCUGUUCCUCGGCGUGUUCCUGCUCGACGGCGUCGCCGUGGACGAGUCUGGUGGCGGCUUCAUCACCAUGUCGAACUUUCGGGUGCUCGCCGUGGGCUACGAAAGCCAUGAUUUCGAGGAUGGCCGCGGCACACCCCGUGCCUCCGUGUUCUCCUCCGGCAGUGAAGGCGGCUGGCAGAUCGCGGCCGAGAACGACGUGUCCAUUCCAGAGUAUGCCUUAAUCAGUUUCAUAGGGCGCGCGCGUUCUUCACUCUACUGGAGGAUGGAGCGUGAGAGCGUCGUGCUGGCCCUCGACGAGACCACCCUCGAGUUCUCGCUCGUCGAGUUCCCGUGUACGGUCAUGGGCAUGCCGGAGGAAUCUUCAGCCUUCCGUGUCAUUGGCGGCCACGAUGGCGCGCUGCGCGUUGUCCGCGUGAUGGUCAACAAUGACCUCACGGUCUUCGUGCAGCUCCAGGGCAGCGGCGAGUGGGUGGCCGAGAAGGUCGUAAGCCUGCCGGAGGCGACCUGCGGGCAGCCGGGGCGCGAGGAGACGUACUUCCAGCGACCUGGCAAGAUCGUAUCCGCGAGUACGAGGUACAUCCUCGUGACACCACAGGAGGAGACAUGGAUUGUCUCUGUCGAUCUCGAGACGCUGGAGGUGGAGCGGGCGCAUGAGAGGAACAGGUACGCCGGUGCGGCGUACCCGUUCGAGCUGCCAUGGCCACCGGCCUUGCAGGCCUGCCGUGCGGCCGAUCGCCGGCGCAGCAGGAGGAUAUAUGUGCCGCCGACGUUCGCCUACGAAUUAGUUAACUGUAUUUGUAACGCACCAACGUGCUCGGGCACGUCAUAG